GAAUUUUUAGUUUAUUAAGAAUGACUCAUUUACAAUGAGUUGGUAUAAAGUUCU
rnacentral:tRNA from 2 species